rnacentral:rRNA from 1 species
UACGGGGGGGGCAAGCGUUGUUCGGAAUUACUGGGCGUAAAGGGUUCGUAGGUGGCCUGCUAAGUCAGACGUGAAAUCCCUCAGCUUAACUGGGGAACUGCGUCUGAGACUGGUGGGCUUGAGUGCAGGAGAGGAACGCGGAAUUCCAGGUGUAGCGGUGAAAUGCGUAGAUAUCUGGAGGAACACCGGUGGCGAAGGCGGCGUUCUGGACUGCUACUGACACUGAGGAACGAAAGCCAGGGGAGCAAACGGG